rnacentral:snoRNA from 1 species
AAAAUAGAAGAUGACAAGAUGGUCUCCUUCAUACUUGUUGGUUUGGAUGCGGAUUAUAACCCAAUUGUAACUUUAGUUAUGGGCAAAUUGGAUCCAAUUCCCUUGUCUGAACUAUAUGCACAAGUAAUGUCAUA